GCUAUACUAAAAAUAGAUAGACGAACAGAUUGCGAGGUUCCACGCGAACCUCAUGUGCCCUGGUAAUUUUCCCUCCUAGUUGCCAGGGUGUUUUU
rnacentral:ncRNA from 1 species